GUGCAACUAGUCCUGGGUGAAUCAUCCUGCAGGCGUGGAUACAGCUGCCCUGCUGCCCCUUCGGCUGCCAGUACAGAUACAGACGUAGAACUGAAGCUCAGAGAAGCUGAGGGACGUGCCUAAGACUACAGAGCCAGAUAAUCCUAACUCUAGUAGCGAGUUGGCCUUCUGUUCUUGCUGUAAUACCAGAGUCAGGCAGGACAGCUUGUAAGUGUGCACAGGUUCAGGAAAAGGGCUCAGUCAACGGACCAGCAGCUUCGCCUACAAGUGCUUCUGCAAAGUGACAUCGAAGCGCGAUUACAUCUGCUAGUUUUGCUUCAGGCCACGAAGUAACAAACACAAUUGUUAUCAAGGAAUGAAUUGUGCAGAAGAAGAGCUUUGCCAUACUGUUUUCUCCAGGAAGCUGGUGAUGGAAAGAGAUGCUCCGUGCUCACGCCAUCCGCUCCUCGCCUCCUCCUCCAGCAACAGCACAGAGAAAGUCAGCAUUGGCUUCUUGAACGCUGAGCUCAUGAUUCUUUUCAUGGUUAGAUGCAGAUGCUCAAAAUUAAAUCUUUCAGAGACCUCAAACAAGGACGUUUCCCCCACCUCUGGAAAUCCCUCACUCAGCUUGAGUUGUUGUUGCUUCUGAAGGAGGCUUGUCCCCUCAGUGUUCCCCUCAGCUGCGCCCAGUGCCAUAGCUGGCUGGUCAAGAAGGGAUUUAAAGGGGCUCUAAGUCAGUGGGUUUCAAACUUGACUGUACUGUAGAAUCACCUGGAAAGUUUUAAACAAUACCCAUGCUUGGUACCACUGCCUGAGAUCCCAAUUUAGUCUGAGCACUUCUCUCUGCUAAAAAUUGGGCAGAAUUGAUCAUUUCAAGACUUAUUUUGGGAAUAAUUGUGCAAGAUUCCUGUUAAUGGGAUUUCUGGGAAAUCUGAAUGGACGCAAAGAGUGUGCGUGUGUGUGUGUGUGUGUGUGUGUGUGUGGUUGGGAGGGAGAGGGAAGUUUUAGAGGUCCCCUAACAUCAGUGUCCUCGCGAUGCUUCAGCCACAUUUCAUCCUUUCAGGUUGCAUGACUGCACACCUUCCCUUGCUGUUCCCUGUACCUGAAAACCUUUCUCUCCUGUCAUAGCCCCACUAGAGCCUUCUAUCUUGCUUCCUCCAGAAAGCCUCUCUGGGUCCCCUGGGCAGGGCUGGACCUCUGUUAUUCCCCCAAGGCAUUCUGGGCUUCUCCUUUAGAAUCCACGCCACAUGUUACUUGAUACCUAUUUCCACCCCCAAAUUAUAAGCACCAGGAGUACAAGAUCCUCCUCUGUAUUAGUCAGCUUAUAUCCUGCUGCCCAGCACUGUGCCUGGUACACAAUAAAUGGUCAAUAACCAUUUGCUGAACAAUUGAAUGUGGAUCAUUAUUUACUCCUCCCACUAUUUAGAUUGGAAAUGUCCUUGCUUCCAAUGGCCAUGCGACACCAGUGUCUAUAGGAUCCUGUAUUCCAGUGGUGGCAACCCGUUUGGUCUAUCUUCAAGGGCCCCUCUUGCUGGCCUUUGCCCUCUCUGUGUAAAGCAGGUAGCAGCAUACAGAGAUCAUCUCUGAAAGUCUGACCUCAGCUUGGGCUGGAAAGAGCACUGACAAGUCUAGAGAUGGGGGUUCAAGCUUGCCUCUCUUAAUAUAGUCUACUUGAGGGGUUGUGUGAAAGGUAUUUGAGAAAGCCUAUGGAAGUUCUAUUUAAGCAGCAAAAUGUUGAAUAAAUUGCGUUAGCCACCAUGUUCAGCACAGCGGCCCUUCUCUCAGGUCAGCACCUAAAGGACCUGCAGGCCCCAUUUAUUGGGUGCCCACCGACCUGUGAUACACAAGAACAUACUAAGGGUUGUCUGUACCCUGCAGGAACCACCAGUGUAGUCUCACCAUUUUGGGGUUAAAAAGUUAGCUACCCCAAGAGUCUGGAAGUUAUGAACAUCCUGUCUUCCUUGGGAUUAUAUCUCCUCGGGUACAUUUUACAUAGUAACUAUUUCACCUUGUAACUGUGUCUUUUCCUGGCCAAGUCACCUCCUACCUUUGAAACACCUUGUUUCUGAAUUAGAUGCAUACGUUAUUCACUCCUUUCUAUCUUAAGCACAUUUUUCAAUUCCUUUUACUCCAUCAGCCACCUGGGUCUGGACAGCCUGGGGUCAGGGUGGCAGCUGGCUUUGGAGGUGGUCAUCAGACUGCUGACCAGUUUUAUGUCCAAACUGAAAGAACUGAUCUCUCAGCAGAGUCAAAGAAGUUACGACAUCCUUUGGGCUAGAAUAAGGAGUCAAGCUUCACAUAGAAAUUUUGACACCCAGGAGUGGGUGCAAUUUUCUAGCUCUCCUCAAACUCCUCCCUCCUCCGCAAAGGCCCUCACUGGGAACAGAAUCCUUGACUUCCGGUGCCCCCAUCCUGUGCGUGAACCUGGCAGGAGUUCACUUAGGAGCACCAGGCUCCCCUCUCAGAAAAUGCCAUCAGUCCCAGCUCCUCCAAUGCCGUCCUGAGCAGUGCCUGGGAGGGCACUUCAUUUCUGUGAGCUUCUGUUUCCUCAUCUGCAAAUCAGGAGGAUGAGCUCCCUUGUCCACAAGGCCCCCUCCAUUCCUAACCCUAGUAAUAUGUAAUGACACUCGCACACCUAUGGCACUGAUUGAACAGACAGGGCUUUCCUUUUUUCUCUUUUUUUGACAAUAUUUGAAAUGAUAAAAAGACUAUUUUCUUUAUUCUUGGCUCUGAAAGGGUGAGACAAACCUCUAAUGUGUCUACUUAAAAGAAAGGAAAAACGUUAGCUCCUAGGAGAAUGUGAUAUAUAAACAUAUCACACUGCUUUAAUCUAUGCAAAAAUAUUCAAUUAUUCAUUGAGUUCCUAGUAGAUAGCAGACAUGUGCUAAAUAUUACACAGGAUUACUUAUGUACAUUCUUAAUCAGCCUUACCAUCCAAUUCUGUUCUACCUUACCACCCAAUCAGAGAAAGAAAAUCAUCCCUGAUGUGUACUAGAGGUAGGAUCUGGUGUAAACGUCACUGAGCCAGGAUUUAGGAGACCUCAGUACAGAGUGAACUACUUCUGUCUCUCUUUCUAGCUGGGACACGGCUCCCAUCCAAACAAAUUAAUUUCGGGCUCAAUCAUUGCAAUGGGUUCCUCCAAUCCUUUCCAGCUCUUAAAUUAUACCAUCUGCAAAAGACUGUUGCAAAAGAUAUCCACCUUCUUUAGCCAUUCUUUAAUUUGCAAUUCUUAAUGCAAAUUAAAACAAUAAGAUAUCACUACACACCUGGCACAAUAGCUAAGAUAAAUAUUGGCAACACCAAAUGCUGGAGAAGAUGAAGAUAAACUGGAUGCUUCCUACAUUGUUUGUAGACUAUAACAUGGUACAGCGCCUCUGGAAAACAGUUUGGCAGUUUCUUAUAAAACUAAACAUGCAUCUACAAUACAACCCCACAAUUGCACUCAUGCACAUGUAUUGCAGAGAAAUGAAAACAGGCUCAUACAAAAACCUGCACAUGCCUAUUCAUAGAUUUAUUCAUAUUAGCAUAAAAUAGGAAACAACCCAUAUGUUCUUCAGUGGGUGAAGGGUUAAACAAACUGUGAUACAUCCAUACUGUGGAAUAUUAUUCAGUGGUAAAAAGGAACAAACUAUCGAUACAUACAACAUCUUGGAUCAAUCUCCAGGGCAUUACACUAAAUGGAAAAAAACAAUGCCAAAAUGUUAUAUACUGUAUGCUUCCAUUUAUAUAGCAUGUUAAAAUAACAAAAUUAGAGAAAUGGAAAAUAGAUUAGUGGUUGCCAGGGAUCAGCGAUGGGGGAGGGGUGAAAUGGGAAGCUGGAUGUGGUAUAGUAUGUCAACAAGAGGAAUCUUUGUGGCGAUGGAAUUGUUCUGUAUCUUGACUGUAUCAACGUCAAUAUUUCGGAUAUCACACUUUAGUUUUCAAGAUGUUACCAUUGGGGGAAACUGGGUAAGGUUUACAGGUUAUGCAGUACAUAGGAUUUCUGUAUCUUAUUUCUUACCACUGCAUUUGAAUCUGCGAUCCCCUCAAAUAAAAAGUUUAAUUUAAAACAAA
rnacentral:lncRNA from 1 species